GUAGGGAAUAUUGGGCAAUGGAGGCAACUCUGACCCAGCCAUGCCGCGUGCAGGAUGACGGCCCUCUGGGUUGUAAACUGCUUUUAUACGGGAAGAAAAAAUACUACGUGUAGUAUACUGACGGUACCGUAAGAAUAAGGAUCGGCUAACUCCGUGCCAGCAGCCGCGGUAAUACGGAGGAUCAAAGCGUUGUUCGGAUCUAUUGGGUUUAAAGGGUGCGUAGGCGGAUCUUUAAGUCAGUGGUGAAAGCCUGCAGCUUAACUGUAGAAUUGCCAUUGAAACUGAAGAUCUUGGAUGUGGUUAAAGUAGGCGGAAUGUAUCAUGUAGCGGUGAAAUACUUAGAUAUGAUACAGAACACCGAUAGCGAAGGCAGCUUGCUGAACCAUUAUUGACGCUGAGGCACGAAAGCGUGGGGAGCGAACAGGAUUAGAUACCCUUGUAGUCC
rnacentral:rRNA from 1 species